rnacentral:misc_RNA from 1 species
UUUCCGUAGGUGAACCUGCGGAAGGAUCAUUAUAGAAAUGCCAAGUGGGAAAAAAGGGGGGGAGGUAGAAUGAAUGGAGGUACAUCCUCUUAUCCGCACCAGCAAGGAUAAUGAUGCUGCGCACCUGCUGCCAUGCCCCUUUUUAACCCAGCUUGUCUCAUAUUAUUCAUCCCUUUUGUGAACCUCUGCAUGAGUUGGUACAGGUUGUUGGCCUGGAAGACUUGUGACACUUAUAUACCCUAUAAAUGAGUCUUAGAAUGUGCCUUGCGUUUAAUCGCAUCCAAUACAACUUUCAGCAACGGAUCUCUUGGCUCUC